rnacentral:tRNA from 1 species
CCCCUGGUGGUUCAGAUGGUAAAGAAUCUGCCUGCAGUGCAGGAGACCCAGGUUCGAUCCCUGGGUAGGGAA